CCUACGGGUGGCAGCAGUAGGGAAUCUUUCACAAUGGGCGAAAGCCUGGUGGAGCAACGCCGCGUGCAGGAUGAAGGCCUUCGGGUUGUAAACUGCUUUUAUAAGCGAGAAAUAUGAUGGUAACUUAUGAAUAAGGAUCGGAGAGCUACGUGCCAGCAGCCGCGGUCAUACGUAGGAUCCGAGCAUUAUCCGGGGUGACUGGGUGUAAAGAGUUGCGUAGGUGGGAUAAUAAGGAGCUAGUGAAAUCUGGUGGCUCAACCAUUCAGACUAUUAGCUAAACUGUUAGGCGUGAGACCGUUAGGGGUAACUGGAAUUUCUAGUGUAGGAGUGAAAUCCGUAGAUAUUAGAAGGAACACCAAUAGCGUAGGCAGGUUGCUGGGACGGUUCUGACACUAAGGCACGAAAGCGUAGGGAGCAAACGGGAUUAGAUACCCCAGUAGUC
rnacentral:rRNA from 1 species